AUUGAACGCUGGCGGCAGGCCUAACACAUGCAAGUCGAACGCGUCGCGGACGGGUGAGUAAUGUCUGGGAAACUGCUUUAUGGCGGGGGAUAACUACUGGAAACGGUAGCUAAUACCGCAUACCAUCAGCUUUGCCCAGAUGGGAUUAGCUAGUUGGUGGGGUAACGGCUCACCAAGGCAACGAUCCCUAGCUGGUCUGAGAGGAUGACCAGCCACACUGGAACUGAGACACGGUCCAGACUCCUACGGGAGGCAGCAGUGGGGAAUAUUCCACAAUGGGCGCAAGCCUGAUGCAGCCAUGCCGCGUGUAUGAAGAAGGCCUUCGGGUUGUAAAGUACUUUCAGCAGGGAGGCGUUACCCGCAGAGGAAGCACCGGCUAACUCCGUGCCAGCAGCCGCGGUAAUUC
rnacentral:rRNA from 1 species